GACAGAGGGUGCAAACGUUGUUCGGAAUUACUGGGCGUAAAGCGCGUGUAGGCGGCUUUGCAAGUCGGGUGUGAAAUCCCACGGCUCAACCGUGGAAGUGCACUCGAAACUGCGAGGCUAGAGUCCUGGAGAGGAAGGUGGAAUGCUUGGUGUAGAGGUGAAAUUCGUAGAUAUCAAGCGGAACACCGGUGGCGAAGGCGGCCUUCUGGACAGUGACUGACGCUGAGACGCGAAAGCGUGGGGAGCAAACAGG
rnacentral:rRNA from 1 species